AUGGUGCUGCUAUUUUUUGCCAAGGUUCUAGUUUUUCGACUUGAUCCGUUGCUACAUGGGUUGAUCUCGCAAGUUCAGAGUGCUUUUGUCCGCAGGAGAAGUAUCCACGAGGACUUCAAAUUUGUGUGCAAUACCGCAUGGCUGCUGCAUCAUAGGAAAGUCCCAGCUGUGCUGAUGAAGAUUGACAUCUCCAAAGCCUUUGAUACUUUGUCUUGGGAAUUCAUUCUCAAAUUGUUGAUUCAGAGAGGUUUUGGACGAGGAUGGUGCUCUUGGAUCUGUGGUCUCAUGUGCACUGCCUCAUCCUCGGUGAUGGUCAAUGGGGAGACUUGUGAUCCCUUUGUGUUGGCUAGUGGUGUAAGACAAGGCGAUCCGCUAUCACAGGCGCUCUUCAUCCUGGCUAUGGACACGCUUCAGGCUAUUGUU
rnacentral:rRNA from 1 species